rnacentral:rRNA from 1 species
ACCUGCCUGUAAGACUGGGAUAACUCCGGGAAACCGGAGCUAAUACCGGAUAGUUCCUUGAACCGCAUGGUUCAAGGAUGAAAGACGGUUUCGGCUGUCACUUACAGAUGGACCCGCGGCGCAUUAGCUAGUUGGUGGGGUAAUGGCUCACCAAGGCGACGAUGCGUAGCCGACCUGAGAGGGUGAUCGGCCACACUGGGACUGAGACACGGCCCAGACUCCUACGGGAGGCAGCAGUAGGGAAUCUUCCGCAAUGGACGAAAGUCUGACGGAGCAACGCCGCGUGAGUGAUGAAGGUUUUCGGAUCGUAAAGCUCUGUUGUUAGGGAAGAACAAGUGCGAGAGUAACUGCUCGCACCUUGACGGUACCUAACCAGAAAGCCACGGCUAACUACGUGCCAGCAGCCGCGGUAAUACGUAGGUGGCAAGCGUUGUCCGGAAUUAUUGGGCGUAAAGGGCUCGCAGGCGGUUUCUUAAGUCUGAUGUGAAAGCCCCCGGCUCAACCGGGGAGGGUCAUUGGAAACUGGGAAACUUGAGUGCAGAAGAGGAGAGUGGAAUUCCACGUGUAGCGGUGAAAUGCGUAGAGAUGUGGAGGAACACCAGUGGCGAAGGCGACUCUCUGGUCUGUAACUGACGCUGAGGAGCGAAAGCGUGGGGAGCGAACAGGAUUAGAUACCCUGGUAGUCCACGCCGUAAACGAUGAGUGCUAAGUGUUAGGGGGUUUCCGCCCCUUAGUGCUGCAGCUAACGCACUUAAGCACUCCGCCUGGGGAGUACGGUCGCAAGACUGAAACUCAAAGGAAUUGACGGGGGCCCGCACAAGCGGUGGAGCAUGUGGUUUAAUUCGAAGCAACGCGAAGAACCUUACCAGGUCUUGACAUCCUCUGACAACCCUAGAGAUAGGGCUUUCCCUUCGGGGACAGAGUGACAGGUGGUGCAUGGUUGUCGUCAGCUCGUGUCGUGAGAUGUUGGGUUAAGUCCCGCAACGAGCGCAACCCUUGAUCUUAGUUGCCAGCAUUCAGUUGGGCACUCUAAGGUGACUGCCGGUGACAAACCGGAGGAAGGUGGGGAUGACGUCAAAUCAUCAUGCCCCUUAUGACCUGGGCUACACACGUGCUACAAUGGACAG